rnacentral:rRNA from 1 species
ACGAACGCUGGCGGCAUGCCUAACACAUGCAAGUCGCACGAGACCUUCGGGUCUAGUGGCGCACGGGUGCGUAACGCGUGGGAACCUGCCCUUAGGUUCGGAAUAACUCCCCGAAAGGGGUGCUAAUACCGGAUAAUGUCUUCGGACCAAAGAUUUAUCGCCUUUGGAUGGGCCCGCGUUGGAUUAGCUAGUUGGUAGGGUAAAAGCCUACCAAGGCGACGAUCCAUAGCUGGUCUGAGAGGAUGAUCAGCCACACUGGGGCUGAGACACGGCCCAGACUCCUACGGGAGGCAGCAGUGGGGAAUAUUGGACAAUGGGCGAAAGCCUGAUCCAGCAAUGCCGCGUGAGUGAUGAAGGCCUUAGGGUUGUAAAGCUCUUUUACCCGGGAUGAUAAUGACAGUACCGGGAGAAUAAGCUCCGGCUAACUCCGUG